CCGACCCCACAGCUGAGCCCAGCAGCAGUGCAGGUGGUGGCUCUGUGUAAAAGUGUUUAAGAAAAGCCGAAACACUGCCUGGCAGCGAGGACUGAGGAAAAAAAUUGUGAGAAACGGCUCUGCAGCACUGAGGUGUGUGGAGUAAUCAUCUAGAAGGUUUAAGAUGUGCUACUUCUACAGAACAUUCCUGCUGGGAGUUCCGACUACUUUCAACAUGGCUCAGUCCUACUUCCCCCAGAGAGCACGUGGCUGCCUGGCGAGGUCGGAUUUGUCUUGUAGACGACGUGGUUCAACAUCUGGCUGCUGCAGGUGCUUCCCCGGAAGAGC